rnacentral:rRNA from 1 species
UACGUAGGGGGCAAGCGUUGUCCGGAAUUAUUGGGCGUAAAGAGCUCGUAGGCGGUCUGUCGCGUCGGCUGUGAAAACCCGGAGCUCAACUCCGGGCCUGCAGUCGAUACGGGCAUCACUGGAGUUCGGCAGGGGAGACUGGAAUUCCUGGUGUAGCGGUGAAAUGCGCAGAGUAUCAGGAGGAACACCGGUGGCGAAGGCGGGUCUCUGGGCCGAUACUGACGGCUGAGGAGCGAAAGCCAGGGGAGCGAACGGG